rnacentral:rRNA from 1 species
AUUGAACGCUGGCGGCAUGCCUUACACAUGCAAGUCGAACGGCAGCAUGGAGAGCUUGCUCUCUGAUGGCGAGUGGCGAACGGGUGAGUAAUGCAUCGGAACGUACCGUGUAAUGGGGGAUAACGUAGCGAAAGUUACGCUAAUACCGCAUACGACCUGAGGGUGAAAGCAGGGGAUCGCAAGACCUUGCGUUAUACGAGCGGCCGAUGUCAGAUUAGCUAGUUGGUGAGGUAAAGGCUCACCAAGGCGACGAUCCGUAGCGGGUCUGAGAGGAUGAUCCGCCACACUGGGACUGAGACACGGCCCAGACUCCUACGGGAGGCAGCAGUGGGGAAUUUUGGACAAUGGGGGCGACCCUGAUCCAGCCAUGCCGCGUGAGUGAAGAGGGCCUUCGGGUUGUAAAGCUCUUUCGGCCGGGAAGAAAUCGCACAGGCUAAUACUCUGUGUGGAUGACGGUACCGGCAUAAGAAGCACCGGCUAACUACGUGCCAGCAGCCGCCGUAA